rnacentral:piRNA from 2 species
UGCAUAACACUUUGUCUGUGUUUCAGAUG